rnacentral:rRNA from 1 species
CGGGGCUUAAAGUCUUGUAAUUGGAAUGAUGGGAAUUUAAACCUCUUCCAGAGUAUCAAUUGGAGGGCAAGUCUGGUGCCAGCAGCCGCGGUAAUUCCAGCUCCAAUAGCGUAUAUUAAAAUUGUUGCAGUUAAAAAGCUCGUAGUUGAAUUUCUGCUGCAUUGCUUGUGUCCCUCUGGGGUCUGUGCAUGUGGCUUUUUUCGGACGGAGUUUCUUUGUCUGAAUGUUUACUUUGAGAAAAUUAGAGUGCUCAAAGCAGGCUUUCGCCUUGAAUAGUUUAGCAUGGAAUAAUAAAGUAGGACUUUGGUUCUAUUUUGUUGGUUUUAGGUACCAAAGUAAUGGUUAAUAGGAACAGUUGGGGGCAUUCGUAUUUAACUGUCAGAGGUGAAAUUCUUAGAUUUGUUAAAGACGAACUACUGCGAAAGCAUAUGCCAAGGAUGUUUUCAUUAAUCAAGAAC